AUGGCGUCAUCGAUCUUGGGGCUGACCAUUCAGAUGGCGGAGAGCCUCAUUAACACGGGCUUCUCCAACCGCCGGAUGGCCAUCCCCCAGCAUUCCUUCAUGCUCAUUGUAGUCACCCGCUCCGAGUCGCUCAACCUUAGGGCGGCCAUCGGCGCCACCAAGCUCGCCAGCACGCUCGUCUUGCUAGACGGCGCCAUGGUGAUCACCUUCUACAUAGGUGUGGUCUUCAACUUCAUCCAGGUCACCGUGCAGCGCAACCUCGCCGGCUAG
rnacentral:rRNA from 1 species